UCGGAAGGGGAGGAGAGACGCUGGCGGCGUGCCUAAUACAUGCAAGUCUCGAGCGGACCGACGGGAGCUUGCUCCCUUAGGUCAGCGGCGGACGGGUGAGUAACACGUGGGUAACCUGCCUGUAAGACUGGGAUAACUCCGGGAAACCGGGGCUAAUACCGGAUGCUUGAUUGAACCGCAUGGUUCAAUCAUAAAAGGUGGCUUUUAACUACCACUUACCGAUGGACCCGCGGCGCAAUAGCUAGUUGGUGAGGUAACGGCUCACCAAGGCGACCAUGCCUAACCGACCUGAGAGGGUGAUCGGCCACACUGGGACUGAAAACUCCUCCAGACUCCUACGGGAGGCAACAAUAGGGAAUCUUCCGCAAUGGACGAAAGUCUGACGGAGCAGCGCCACGUGAGUGAUGAAGGUUUUCGGAUCGUCAACUCUGUUGAUAGGGAAGAACAAAUACCGUUCGAAUAGGGCGGUACCUUGACGGUACCUAACCAGAAAGCCACGUGCUAACUACGUGCCAGCAGCCGCGGUAAUACGUAGGUGGCAAGCGUUGUCCGGAAUUAUUGGGCGUAAAGCCGCGCGCACGCGGUUUCUUAAAUCUGAUGUGAUCGCCCCGGGCUCAGCCGGGGAGGGUCAUUGGAAACUGGGGAACUUGAGUGCAUAGAGGACAGUGGAAUUCCACGUGUAGCGGAUGAAAUGCGUAGAGAUGUGGAGGAACACCGGUGCCAAUGGCCACUCUCUGGUCCUGUAACUGACGCUGAGGCGCGAAGCAUGGGGAUGCGAACCCGAUUAAAUACCCUGCUAUCCACGCCGUAAUCGAUGAGUGCUAACUGUAGAGGGUUCCGCGCAUUUAAUGCUGCAACCACGCAUCUAG
rnacentral:rRNA from 1 species